rnacentral:rRNA from 1 species
GAUGAACGCUGGCGGCGUGCCUAAUACAUGCAAGUCGAGCGAACGGACGAGAAGCUUGCUUCUCUGAUGUUAGCGGCGGACGGGUGAGUAACACGUGGAUAACCUACCUAUAAGACUGGGAUAACUUCGGGAAACCGGAGCUAAUACCGGAUAAUAUUUUGAACCGCAUGGUUCAAAAGUGAAAGACGGUCUUGCUGUCACUUAUAGAUGGAUCCGCGCUGCAUUAGCUAGUUGGUAAGGUAACGGCUUACCAAGGCAACGAUGCAUAGCCGACCUGAGAGGGUGAUCGGCCACACUGGAACUGAGACACGGUCCAGACUCCUACGGGAGGCAGCAGUAGGGAAUCUUCCGCAAUGGGCGAAAGUCUGACGGAGCAACGCCGCGUGAGUGAUGAAGGUCUUCGGAUCGUAAAACUCUGUUAUUAGGGAAGAACAUAUGUGUAAGUAACUGUGCACAUCUUGACGGUACCUAAUCAGAAAGCCACGGCUAACUACGUG